GGCAUUGUGGCCGAGUGGUUAAGGCGAUGCACUCGAAUCGUGUUUCAUCUGAAACGGAAUAUUUGGGUUAUGCAUUGGGUUUCGCCCGCGCAGGUUCGAAUCCUGCUGAUGUCG
rnacentral:tRNA from 2 species